rnacentral:rRNA from 1 species
CCUACGGGUGACAGCAGUGAGGAAUAUUGGUCAAUGGGCGUAAGCCUGAACCAGCCAAGUCGCGUGAGGGAUGAAGGUUCUAUGGAUCGUAAACCUCUUUUAUAAGGGAAUAAAGUGUGGGACGUGUCCUCUUUUGUAUGUACCUUAUGAAUAAGGAUCGGCUAACUCCGUGCCAGCAGCCGCGGUAAUACGGAGGGUCCGAGCGUUAUCCGGAUUUAUUGGGUUUAAAGGGUGCGUAGGCCGCCUUUUAAGUCAGCGGUGAAAGGCCGGGGCUCAACCAUAGCAUUGCCGUUGAAACUGGGGGGCUUGAGAGGGGUAGAGGGAGGCGGAAUGCGAGGUGUAGCGGUGAAAUGCUUAGAUA